GGUGUAGCAGAAGGUUUAACUGAGCAAAGUUCAUUUAGGUUCCUGCCACUGAUUACAUUUGUAGUCACCAAAGUGCAGAAUGAAACUAAAAUGUCCUGAGAAGACUAUGCAGGCCUCACAGCUUUAGAGCUGAAGCAGCACGGCAAUGGAGCAGCUGAAUGAGAUUUCCUUUCAUUAGAGGCUAAAAUGGUGGCUGAAAAUGUCUUUAGGCACUAGCAAAACCAAAUUGCUUAACUGGACAGUGGCACUCCCUCUGCAGCAAGACAGCGAGCAAACUCCUGGGCAGCACUGGCACUGCCAUCCACAGGCCUCCUCUUCUCAAUUGCCAUUCCUGAAAAUCUCAGCAGUGACUGCCUGCACGUCCCUGUGGACAAGCAGGGAGUUCAGACCCUGUGAUGGUGUGAACAUCCCAGUGAUCUGUUUUUUCCUGCUCUUUGACUGCAAGCUUCCUCUGCAGCAAGAGGCAA